rnacentral:rRNA from 1 species
UACAGAGGGUGCAAGCGUUGUUCGGAAUUAUUGGGCGUAAAGGGCGCGUAGGCGGUGCGGUAAGUCCGCAGUGAAAUCUCUGGGCUCAACUCAGAGUCUGCUGUGGAAACUGCCGUGCUUGAGUGUGGGAGAGGUGAGUGGAAUUCCCGGUGUAGCGGUGAAAUGCGUAGAUAUCUGCAGGAACACCCGUGGCGAAAGCGGCGCGCUGGACCACUACUGACGCUGAGGAACGAAAGCUAGGGGAGCAAACAGG